rnacentral:tRNA from 1 species
UCCGGCAUGGUCUAGUGGCUAGGAUACCUGGCUCUCACCCAGGAGGCCCGGGUUCGAUUCGCGGUGUCGGAA